rfam:Lupinus angustifolius cultivar Tanjil contig_43340, whole genome shotgun sequence.
UCGAGAUGAUGAGGGCAGCUUGCACAUAAUCUCUUGAAUUUCUCCUAAUAUUCAUAUAAACCCUCUGCAUGUAGUUGUCUGAUUCCAGAAAUAUAUUUUCUUAUUGU